UACAGAGGCCUCGAGCGUUAUCCGGAAUCACUGGGCGUAAAGGGUGCGUAGGCGGGUCUUUUAAGUCAGGGGUGAAAUCCUGGAGCUCAACUCCAGAACUGCCUUUGAUACUGAAGAUCUUGAGUUCGGGAGAGGUGAGUGGAACUGCGAGUGUAGAGGUGAAAUUCGUAGAUAUUCGCAAGAACACCAGUGGCGAAGGCGGACUCACUGGCCCGAUACUGACGCUGAGGCACGGAAAGCGUGGGG
rnacentral:rRNA from 1 species